rnacentral:piRNA from 1 species
UGGGCUGGUGAUGGCAUGAUCUUUUGUGU